UGGGGCGUAGCCAAGUGGUAAGGCACCGGAUUUUGAUUCCGGCAUUCCCUGGUUCGAAUCCAGGCGCCCCAGCCA
rnacentral:tRNA from 1 species